GAUGAACGCUGGCGGCGUGCUUAACACAUGCAAGUCGAACGGAAAGGCCAGUGCUUGCACUGGUACUCGAGUGGCGAACGGGUGAGUAACACGUGGGUGAUCUGCCCUGCACUUCGGGAUAAGCCUGGGAAACUGGGUCUAAUACCGGAUAGGACAAUGGUUUGGAUGCCGUUGUGGAAAGUUUUUUCGGUGUGGGAUGAGCUCGCGGCCUAUCAGCUUGUUGGUGGGGUAAUGGCCUACCAAGGCGUCGACGGGUAGCCGGCCUGAGAGGGUGUACGGCCACAUUGGGACUGAGAUACGGCCCAGACUCCUACGGGGGGCAGCAGUGGGGAAUAUUGCACAAUGGGCGCAAGCCUGAUGCAGCGACGCCGCGUGGGGGAUGACGGCCUUCGGGUUGUAAACUCCUUUCGCUAGGGACGAAGCGUAUUUGUGACGGUACCUGGAGAAGAAGCACCGGCUAACUACGUG
rnacentral:rRNA from 1 species